AUUGAACGCUGGCGGCAGGCCUAACACAUGCAAGUCGAACGGUAACAGGAAGCAGCUUGCUGCUUUGCUGACGAGUGGCGGACGGGUGAGUAAUGUCUGGGAAACUGCCUGAUGGAGGGGGAUAACUACUGGAAACGGUAGCUAAUACCGCAUAACGUCGCAAGACCAAAGAGGGGGACCUUAGGGCCUCUUGCCAUCGGAUGUGCCCAGAUGGGAUUAGCUAGUAGGUGGGGUAACGGCUCACCUAGGCGACGAUCCCUAGCUGGUCUGAGAGGAUGACCAGCCACACUGGAACUGAGACACGGUCCAGACUCCUACGGGAGGCAGCAGUGGGGAAUAUUGCACAAUGGGCGCAAGCCUGAUGCAGCCAUGCCGCGUGUAUGAAGAAGGCCUUCGGGUUGUAAAGUACUUUCAGCGGGGAGGAAGGGAGUAAAGUUAAUACCUUUGCUCAUUGACGUUACCCGCAGAAGAAGCACCGGCUAACUCCG
rnacentral:rRNA from 1 species